rnacentral:lncRNA from 1 species
CCUCUGCAGCCCUUCUCGUCAUCUUCACAGUUGGUCUUAGGUAGUUCUAGCUGGCUUCUCGCCUAUUCAUUGUUUUUUGUUGUUGUUGUUUUUUUUUUUUUUUUUUGGAGAGGCUGUGUCCCCACCCAAAUCUCAUCUUGAAUUGUAGUUCCUAUAAUGCCUAUGUGUUGUGGGAGGGACCUGGUGGGAGGUAAUUGAUUCAUGGGAGCAGUUACCACCAUGCCGUUCUUGUAAUAGUGAGUUCUCAUGAGAUCUGAUGGCUUUAUAAGGGGUGUUUCCCCUUUUGCUCUGUACUUCUCCUUGCUUUCACCAUGUGAAGAAGGAUAUGUUUACUUCCCCUUCCUGAAGAAAUCCAAACUGAGGCCUGUCAUCUGGGGUUUUGUUCUGCCAGAGUGGCUUGUGACCAGGAGUAGUACAGUCUGGAGGUGAUCCUGACAUGUGGACUGCCCCAUGAAAUGCCUCACUUCAUUUUGGUUUUUGAGUCUUUGUUUUAAAGGGAAGUAGUUUUGUAACAGCAGUUCAUCGGCAUAGCGAGACAUAAGCAUUAAACAUUGAAGCGUUGGUCUGUGCUGCUUCCUUUAUCUUUCGUUCUUGCACCGCGUGGCCUCAUGACUCAUUCUCAUGGACUGACACUAUACACACCACCCACAGCUGUCCUUUCAUGAUAUG